rfam:Cricetulus griseus cell line CHO-K1, whole genome shotgun sequence.
ACCUAGACUAAGGCCAGGAGAAUAGUAUAGCAGAGCUGACAAGUUAUGUGCUUUCCUAAAACAAGAUUCACAUAACCUGUGCCUAGAGAUAGAUCUGCGUUUUGAGUCUGGAAACUCCGCCAACAUUGAAUGA